GAUUGAACCAAAGCUGAGCCUGUGAUACUGCCAGGAGCAAUGCUAAGAAAUACAAGAACAUACACUUGCCAGCUUCAACAGGACAUGGGCUGUGUCUGCCUGUUCAAUAUUGGUAUGUUCCUAGAACUUGUUCUGAACAAGGAAAGAAGGAAAAUGAAAUAUGUAUUCCUGGAGAAACCAAAGACAAAAUAGGAUCACAGCUUUUUCUGCUGCAAGGCUGUGGGAACCUCAUACUGGCAUAUCAGAAAGUGUUUUGCUACUACAGCAAGGUUCAAGCACCUUCUAAAUGCAGCUCUACCAAGUGGAGCUCCACUAGCAUGAAAGCUUUUGGGACAGUUGUUCAUGCUAAACAUCUAUGAAGUUUUGGGGGAUAGUCUCCCUCAUCCCUGUACAUGCAACCUUACAAGGCAGAAUUUAGAGUUUUGUGCUUUAAUUUAUUAUUAAAAUGUGCUUAUUUGCAGUCAGAUCUGAGCUCCUUCACUGAAGCCGAGCUUUCUGAAUUAAUUCCUCUUCCAAUGCCACCAGCUGGGCAGGGUGUUGAUAAAAAAUUAGCCACAGAAGCUUCUCAUGAGUGCAUGAUGGCCACAGAUGUUCUCCAACUUGCUAAGUAGGUUUUAAAUGGGAGAAGGAGGAGAAACAAUUAAAAAAGUGUAUGUCUUCCUUCAGCAUGAGGAAGCUGACCUGUGGAGGGUGAGAGGAUGUGUCCAGCAAUGUCAUCUUAUCAGCACAACACGUUUGCCUACCAGGAUGCAGGAAGGUGGAUGCAUGCAAUCAGGCUGCUUAGACAGGAAGAGAUGAUGGGGCUUCCUGGAGGACACACAAAACUGGCCCUAUUGGCACAGCUACAGAGGAG